AUUUACGGCCAUACCACCCUGUCUGCGCCCGGUCUCGUCUGUUCUCAGAAGCUAAGCAGGGUUGGGCCUGGCUAGUACUUGAAUGGGAGACUGCCUGGGAAUACCAGGUGCUGUAAGCU
rnacentral:rRNA from 1 species